ACCACCUUGAUCCCUGACCAGGCAACCCGGAUGCAAUAUCUUCAUGUCAGAAACAGAGUGGCAGCAAGGACUGAGCAAAACUGGAGUGGAAGCAGGUCCCAUCCAGAGCCUCAAGGGGAGAAGGUGGGGCUGCUUUCGUCACUGCGGGAGCUGCCCGUCACUCCUCCAAUGAGGUCCAGCAUGGUGGCCGGAACUCGUUGCCCAGAAGAGGCUUCAUCCCCUCUCAGGGACUAUCUUGGAGCACCUGGAUUAUUAAAGUUAAAAAGAGAACAUGUUCAUCUAAAAGGGAGGUGCAGAGCUGACCAGGAAAUCCCUGCUCCCUUGGAGACGGC